rnacentral:rRNA from 1 species
AUGAACGCUGGCGGCGUGCCUAAUACAUGCAAGUCGAGCGAACGGACGAGAAGCUUGCUUUUCUGAUGUUAGCGGCGGACGGGUGAGUAACACGUGGAUAACCUACCUAUAAGACUGGGAUAACUUCGGGAAACCGGAGCUAAUACCGGAUAAUAUUUUGAACCGCAUGGUUCAAAAGUGAAAGACGGUCUUGCUGUCACUUAUAGAUGGAUCCGCGCUGCAUUAGCUAGUUGGUAAGGUAACGGCUUACCAAGGCAACGAUGCAUAGCCGGCCUGAGAGGGUGAUCGGCCACACUGGAACUGAGACACGGUCCAGACUCCUACGGGAGGCAGCAGUAGGGAAUCUUCCGCAAUGGGCGAAAGCCUGACGGAGCAACGCCGCGUGAGUGAUGAAGGUCUUCGGAUCGUAAAACUCUGUUAUUAGGGAAGAACAUAUGUGUAAGUAACUGUGCACAUCUUGACGGUACCUAAUCAGAAAGCCACGGCUAACUACGUG